ensembl:lncRNA
GUCUGGUGUGUGUCAGUGUGUAGUGUCUGGUGUGUGUCAGUGUUCAGUGUGCAGUGUGUAGAGUCUGGUGUGUGUCAGUGUGUAGUGUGUAGUGUCUGUUGUGUGUCAGUGUGUAGUGUCUGGUGUGUGUCAGUGUGUAGAGUCUGGUGUGUGUCAGAGUGUGUAGAGUCUGGUGUGUGUCAGUGUGUGUAGAGUCUUGUGUCUGUCUGAGUGUAGUGUCUGGUGUGUGUCAGUGUGUAGAGUCUGGUGUGUGUCAGUGUGCAGAGUGUAGUGUCUGGUGUGUGUCAGUGUGUAGAGUCUGGUGUGUGUCAGUGUGUAGUGUCUGGUGUGUGUCAGUGUGUAGAGUCUGGUGUGUGUCAGUGUGUAGAGUCUGGUGUGUGUCAGUGUGUAGUGUCUGGUGUGUGUCAGUGUGUAGAGUCUGGUGUGUGUCAGGGUGUAGUGUCUGGUGUGUGUCAGUGUGUAGUGUCUGGUGUGUGUGUCAGUGUGCAGAGUGUGUAGUGUCUGGUGUGUGUCAGUGUGUAGAGUCUGGUGUGUGUCAGUGUGCAGAGUGUAGUGUCUGGUGUGUGUCAGUGUGUCAGUGUGUAGUGUCUGGUGUGUGUCAGUGUGCAGUGUAUAGUGUCUGGUGUGUGUCAGUGUGUAGUGUCUGGUGUGUGUCAGUGUGUAGAGUCUGGUGUGUGUCAGUGUGCAGUGUAUAGUGUCUGGUGUGUGUCAGUGUGUAGUGUCUGGUGUGUGUCAGUGUGUAGUGUGUAGUGUCUGGUGUGUGUCAGUGUGUAGUGUGCAGAGGGCGGCGUGCGGCGGGCUGAUGUUGCCGCGUGUGAGGGUGGGCUGUGAGCCAACACGGUGGUCAGACACGUGGUCACAUGACCGCAGACCGGCGCCCUCCAGAGGCCGGCCGCCCUGCCCCUGGAGGGCCGGGGGGGGGCCCUCACAUGGUCAACUAACCCCACCGUCAACUAACCCCACCGUCAACUUCCCCACCGUCAACUAACCCCACCGUCAACUAACCCCACCGUCAACUAACCCCACCGCCAACUAACCCCACCGCCAACUAACCCCGUCAACUAACCCCACCGCCAACUAACCCCACCGUCAAA